GGGGAGCUCGGUUAGUGUCGAUGCCUCAAGGGUUUAUACAUAUCAAUUCCAUGUUGCUUAAAGCCACUGUAACCGUGGCUACUGGUUUUCAGGUAUAUGUUUAUGGAGUCAUAACGUGCUUGUUGACAACUCGUAUCGAAUGUUUAUAUUAUUUAUAACGUUUUCAUGGAAUGUCUACUGUUAAAAAACAUCUUGCGGGUACUUUAGUUAGGUACUAGAAAGCACAUACACACGCACAUGCCCAGCACAACCACAAGCAUGAAAACAAGGCAAAUUUUGGUGUUGUAAUUUAUGGAUACCUCUUGGUUACUUUGUUUCAAAAUAAAUAAUUAAAUUUUGGCUGGCAUUUUCACCAAUGUAGCCCCCAAAAAAAUCAUCUUUGAUGGAUUGAAUACGACAAAAGUUCUAUGUAGUUCGAUUGGUAAUUGUUCGUUCGUCGUCAUAUAAUUCAACAUUUUUCUCUCGGGCUAUCUAUGUGAUAGGUCUAUGUUAUCAACUCUUUAUUAGUAAAAAUAGUACCUAUUUUGCCAUAUCCAUGGUCAAUUCCUAUAUUUUUUCCUUGAAAAAAAUCCUACAUAUUCCAUAGACCAUGUUGCAUUUUAGAAUUUUGUUCAAUGUUCGGCCCCCCUUGUGUAUAAUACCUUGCUCCGCCGUUGCGCCUAACACAUGCGUACAGUUGUGGGCAUCCCUUUAUUAGUCCCACCUGCAGUCUGAAUGUGUAUCCCUAAGAAAGUGAAUGGUCAUGAUAACCUUCCUGAAGUAUGACUCUGUGUAUCCAUUGAAGUAAUGUUCAUGCAAAUCCUAUAAUUAUUGUUGUUAAAUAAUAAUGUUCAUCAUAAUAUAGGUUGCAUCCAAAGUAGUUUUAAAGACUUUAACAUAUCCAAACCAGCGAAAUGUUGCAUAUGCUACUAUUCAGAGUAUUCAUCUAGAAACUAAGGUUGGUGAUAUUUAGGUAGGUGCCAAAUUUGCACUUGUGUGCAUAGAUGAACCUAUUCUGGAUAAUGAGGAGUUGGUAAGGUAAGUUUCUGAUUGCAAGAGAAUUGGUGAUGCUUUUGCUUCAGGAUACUUAAUUGUCCAACCUCCAGCUUUUGUAAGUCGGAGUCUUUUCUUCCAUAUUCCACAAUUAUAUUUGUGAGCAUUUAAUCACAUAACUGUAAGGUCCAUUUUCCUUUUACAGAUUCAAAAGAAGCAUAAUGGAGUUGCAGCUGAACCGUUCUUCGGUUGGAUGAAGAAGCAAAUGUAAUUAGAAUACUUUACUUAGCAAUAAUUGUAGUUUGCAUUGAUGGAUUGAAAAAUGUAACACCAUUCAGAAGAUCUUUUUCUUUGGUCGAAUUGAUGCAAAUGCUAUGGUGUAAUAUUCUUCAUAGAUGAGUUCUCUAUAGUAAAAUAUAUAUGAAUGAUAUGAUGUCUAGCCAAUAACAUUGGUAUGUAUUUAUUGUAAUGCAUAUGUAUCCUACACUCUUGUAGAUUCAUCAUAAAUACC
rnacentral:lncRNA from 1 species